AGCAGCCGCCGCGGUAAAACGGAGGGGGCUAGCGUUGUUCGGAAUUACUGGGCGUAAAGCGCACGUAGGCGGAUAUUUAAGUCAGGGGUGAAAUCCCAGAGCUCAACUCUGGAACUGCCUUUGAUACUGGGUAUCUUGAGUAUGGAAGAGGUGAGUGGAAUUCCGAGUGUAGAGGUGAAAUUCGUAGAUAUUCGGAGGAACACCAGUGGCGAAGGCGGCUCACUGGUCCAUUACUGACGCUGAGGUGCGAAAGCGUGGGGAGCAAACAGGAUUAGAUACCCCAGUAGUCCCUGUCUCUUAUAC
rnacentral:rRNA from 1 species